UACGUAGGGUGCAGGCGUUAAUCGGAAUUACUGGGCGUAAAGCGAGCGCAGGCGGUUUCUUAAGUCAGAUGUGAAAGCCCCGGGCUUAACCUGGGAACUGCGUUUGAAACUGGGAGACUUGAGUGUGGCAGAGGGGGGUGGAAUUCCACGUGUAGCAGUGAAAUGCGUAGAUAUGUGGAGGAACACCGAUGGCGAAGGCAGCCCCCUGGGUUAACACUGACGCUCAUGCACGAAAGCGUGGGGAGCAAACAGG
rnacentral:rRNA from 1 species